UUGUUGUUGUCGUUGUAUUUAUUGUUUUUGUUGUUGUUGUUGUUGUUGUUGUUGUUGUUGUUGUUGUUGUUGUUGUUCUUGUUGUCGUCAUCGUCGUCGACAUCGUCGUGGCCGUCGACAUCGUCGUCGUGUGUGUUGUUGUUGUUGUCAUUGCUAUCGCUGUUGUCACUAUUGUCAUCGUCGUCAUUGUUGUUGUUUUUGUCAUUGUUGUUGUCGUUCUCGUCAUUGUCUUUGUUGUCGUUGUUAUCCUCGUCCUCGUCGUCGUUGUUGUGGUUGUUCUCAUUGUUGUUGUUGUUGUUGUUGUUGUUGUUGUUGUUGUUGUUGUUGUUGUCGGUGUUCUCGUUGUUCUCGUCAUUGCCGUCGUUGUUGACG
rnacentral:lncRNA from 1 species